AUACGUAGGGUGCGAGCGUUAAUCGGAAUUACUGGGCGUAAAGCGUGCGCAGGCGGUUUUGUAAGACAGGGGCGAAAUCCCCGGGCUCAACCUGGGAACUGCCAUUGUGACUGCAAGGCUGGAGUGCGGAAGAGGGGGAUGGAAUUCCGCGUGUAGCAGUGAAAUGCGUAGAUAUGCGGAGGAACACCGAUGGCGAAGGCAAUCCCCUGAGCCAGCACUGACGCUCAUGCACGAAAGCGUGGGGAGCAAACAGGAUUAGAUACCCUGGUAGUCCACGCCCUAAACGAUGUCAACUGGUUGUUGGGGAUUUAUUUUCUCAGUAACGAAGCUAACGCGUGAAGUUGACCGCCUGGGGAGUACGGCCGCAAGGUUAAAACUCAAAUGAAUUGACGGGG
rnacentral:rRNA from 1 species